CCUACGGGCGGCUGCAGUGAGGAAUAUUGGUCAAUGGACGAGAGUCUGAACCAGCCAAGUAGCGUGAAGGAUGACUGCCCUAUGGGUUGUAAACUUCUUUUAUAUGGGGAUAAAACGUUCCACGUGUGGGAUUUUGUAUGUACCAUAUGAAUAAGGAUCGGCUAACUCCGUGCCAGCAGCCGCGGUAAUACGGAGGAUCCGAGCGUUAUCCGGAUUUAUUGGGUUUAAAGGGAGCGUAGGUGGAUUGUUAAGUCAGUUGUGAAAGUUUGCGGCUCAACCGUAAAAUUGCAGUUGAAACUGGCAGUCUUGAGUACAGUAGAGGUGGGCGGAAUUGGUGGUGUAGCGGUGAAAUGCUUAGAUAUCACGAAGAACUCCGAUUGCGAAGGCAGUUCACUGGACUGCAACUGACACUGAGGCUCGAAAGUGUGGGUAUCAAACAGGAUUAGAUACCCGUGUAGUC
rnacentral:rRNA from 1 species